UGGGGAAUUUUGGACAAUGGGCGAAAGCCUGAUCCAGCAAUGCCGCGUGUGUGAAGAAGGCCUUCGGGUUGUAAAGCACUUUUGUCCGGAAAGAAAUCCUUGGCUCUAAUACAGUCGGGGGAUGACGGUACCGGAAGAAUAAGCACCGGCUAACUACGUGCCAGCAGCCGCGGUAAUACGUAGGGUGCAAGCGUUAAUCGGAAUUACUGGGCGUAAAGCGUGCGCAGGCGGUUUGCUAAGACCGAUGUGAAAUCCCCGGGCUCAACCUGGGAACUGCAUUGGUGACUGGCAGGCUAGAGUAUGGCAGAGGGGGGUAGAAUUCCACGUGUAGCAGUGAAAUGCGUAGAGAUGUGGAGGAAUACCGAUGGCGAAGGCAGCCCCCUGGGCCAAUACUGACGCUCAUGCACGAAAGCGUGGGGAGCAAACAGGGUUAGAUACCCUGGUAGUCCACGCCCUAAACGAUGUCAACUAGUUGUUGGGGAUUCAUUUCCUAGUAACGUAGCUAACGCGUGAAGUUGACCGCCUGGGGAGUACGGUCGCAAGAUUAAAACUCAAAUGAAUUGACGGGGUCAUAGCUGUUUCC
rnacentral:rRNA from 1 species